UACAGAGGUCUCAAGCGUUGUUCGGAUUCAUUGGGCGUAAAGGGUGCGUAGGUGGCGGGGUAAGUUGGAUGUGAAAUCCCGGGGCUCAACCCCGGAACUGCAUUCAAUACUGCCUUGCUAGAGUACUGGAGAGGAGAUUGGGAAUUUACGGUGUAGCAGUGAAAUGCGUAGAUAUCGUAAGGAAGACCAGUGGCGAAGGCGGAUCUCUGGACAGUUACUGACACUGAGG
rnacentral:rRNA from 1 species